rnacentral:RNase_P_RNA from 1 species
GGAGGGGAGCACGCGGCCGCGCUGGCCCGCCGCGAGGCGGGCGGUGAGGAAAGUCCGAACACCGCAGGGCAGGAUGCCGGGUAACGCCCGGGCGCCGCGAGGCGAUGGAAAGUGCAACAGAAAACAUACCGCCCGGCGCGAAAUCGCCGGGUAAGGGUGAAAUGGCGAGGUAAGAGCUCACCGCGUCUGCCGCAAGACAGACGGCAGUGUAAACCCCGUCCGGUGCAAGACCAAGCAUGCAACCGUUU